UAAUACCUGAUAAGCCCACGGGGUCUUUGGACCCUGCGGGAAAAGGGGGGGACCUUCGGGCCUUCUGUCACCAGAUGAGUCUGCGUACCAUUAGCUAGUUGGUAGGGUAAAGGCCUACCAAGGCGACGAUGGUUAGCUGGUCUGAGAGGAUGAUCAGCCACACUGGAACUGAGACACGGUCCAGACUCCUACGGGAGGCAGCAGUGGGGAAUUUUGCGCAAUGGGGGAAACCCUGACGCAGCAACGCCGCGUGAGUGAUGAGGGCUCUUGGGUCGUAAAGCUCUGACAGAGGGAAAGAAAUGUAUUGUGGCUAAUAUCCACGAUACUUGACGGUACCCUCAAAGGAAGCACCGGCUAACUCCGUGCCAGCAGCCGCGGUAAUACGGGGGGUGCAAGCGUUGUUCGGAUUUAUUGGGCGUAAAGCGCGUGUAGGCGGUUUGUUAAGUCUGAUGUGAAAGCCCUGGGCUCAACCCGGGAAGUGCAUUGGAAACUGGCAGACUUGAAUACGGGAGAGGAGAGUGGAAUUCCUGGUGUAGGAGUGAAAUCCGUAGAUAUCAGGAGGAACACCGGUGGCGAAGGCGGCUCUCUGGACCGAUAUUGACGCUGAGACGCGAAAGCGUGGGUAGCAAACAGGAUUAGAUACCCUGGUAGUCCACGCCGUAAACGAUGAGUACUAGGUGUCGCGGGUA
rnacentral:rRNA from 1 species